rnacentral:lncRNA from 1 species
AUAGAUGGAUUAGUGUUUGAAGUGUCCAGAGGAUCCAUAGAACAACAGAUAUCAAACAUACUUCCUCAAAAAAGUUGUGCUGUUUCUUGCCUAUGAAAACCCGCUGGGAAUGGUACUGCCUAUCUUAGUCCUGUGCUUCUCUGCCCUUAGAGCAGUUGUAUGCUGUGUCUUCUUGUAACAGAAAGAUACUCCCAUAGUCAAGGCCAAUAAUUAAAUUCUCAGUUAUGUCCUACUUAUCUCCUUCAUAUUUUCUUUUAUAUGUUUCUUGCUCUACAUUGGUCAUCCCACUAUGACCAGCUACAUCCUCCAAUAGAAAACAUUGGCCAUUGUGUUCAAUGUGGCUGCCUAUACUGUCUUGACAAAGAUAAUUAUUGUAGUACUGGCAUUCUAGAUUAUUGUGCCAGGAAAAAAUAUAACAGUGCUACUUUUGUCAGGUGCACCUUACUACAUCAUUCUCAUAUAUAUCAUGAUCCAGCUGAUACUUUGUGGAAUAUGACUGGGAUUUUUUCCUCUAUUUGUUGAUGCUAAUGUACACAUGUUGCAAGAUCACAUCAUCAUUGUUUGCAAUAAAUGUUCAGUGUUGGCUUUCUACUGUGUCCUAAGAUAUACUGGCUUUGUUGCAGCACAAAGUUUUACUGUACCAUUCCUCGCCAGGAAUUUAUAUGAUGCAUUCAAUGAAACCAAGCUCCUGACAUUCAGUAUGAUGAUAUUAUGCAAUGUGUAGAUCACUUUUCUUCCUGUCUUCCACAGCACUAAGGGCCAAAAACGGUUGCUGUGGAGGUCUUCUCUAUCUUAGAAUAUAGUGAAAAACUACCUUGUGUCUUUGCCUCAAAAUGCUAGAGUAAUUUAUUAAGACCAGAGAUUUCUUUUUACAA